GCGCCGAUGGCGGAAUUGGUAGACGCGCCAGGUUGAGGGCCUGGUCCCCGAUAAGGGGGUGGAGGUUCGAGUCCUCUUCGGCGCAUCA
rnacentral:tRNA from 1 species